rnacentral:lncRNA from 1 species
GGCGCGGUCGACUUGGGCGUGUUCAAACGGCGUCGACAACGACUCGGGCGACAAUGGCUGGGGACGCGGCGAGGGAUGCGGUAGCAGACGGCGUCGGCUGGGGUGGCUUCAACGACUACGGUAGGGGGCACGGCAGCGAACGGUGUAGGCUUGGGCAAUUUCGGGCGGCGUUGGCAGCGACUUUGACAACAGUGGAGGUGGUGGACGGACGGCGUCAGCAGUAGCUGAUAGAAAAGGAAGGAUUACAGUCUUUUUUUUUAAUUUAAUAUUUUUAUUUUUAUUUUGUUUAUUUUAUUUUACUUAUGACUUCCCCUACUUCUAUUAAUUUCUUCUACUUUUCCUUUUUUUUCACUUCUUCCUCGUAGAGUCACAAUUUUUUUUUGUUCACAGUAGAACCGGUGGCCCGGAUCCCACUCUUCCUUCUUUGGAUGCUCUAUUUAUAGAGCCCCCGGUGGUUGGCUCUUCGUGAAUCCAAAGGGCAUCUUAAAAAAAAAGACCAAGCAUAGAUUGUGAGCUCGAAUUUUUUGGGAUUAGAUGAUUUUAUUCUAUUAUUUUAUUACUUUUUUUUUAACUAUUGAGGGCAGAGAGAGGGUUACGGAGAGAAGGGAAAGAGAGAGAGAGGGGGAAGAGAAAGAGGGGUCUAGGAGGGGAGAGGGAGGAGAGAAAAAUUUUUUUUUUACUAUUGAGGGGAGAGAGAGGGGGGGUACAAAGAAGGGGGGAAGAGAAAGGGGGGAAGAGAGAGAGGGCUCAGAUGGCGAUGGAAGAAGGCGCCACGUAGAAAAGAGGAAGGAAAGUACACCACGUGUAAAGUAGGUACUGUCAAAUUAGAUAUGUUUUUUACUAUUGAGGGGAGAGAGAGGGGUUACGGAGAGGAGGGAAAGAGAGGAGGAAAGAGAGAGAGGGGUCUAGGAGGGGAGAGGGAGGAGAGAAAAAGAUUUUCUUUUUUACUAUUGGGAGGAGAGAGAGGGGUACAGAGAAGAGGGGAUAGAGAAGGGGGAAGAGAGAGAGGAUAGAGGGAGAAGGGGAGAGAGAGAGGGCUCAGAUGGAGAUAAGAGAAGGCGCCACGUGGAGAAGAGGAAGGAAAGGACGCCACGUGUAAAGUAGGUACUGUCAAAUUA